GAAUUUUAUUAAUAUUAAAUUAUUAAAGAAGGUUGAUAAAUUUAAUAUUUAUUUGAUUGGGGGGAUAUUUAAAUUAAUAAAACUUUAAAUUAAUUAAUGACAUUGAUUAAUGGAUUAGUUUAAUAUAUUAAAUGAUUUAAAUUAUGUUAAUAAAAGAAUAAAUUACCUUAGGGAUAACAGCAUAAUAUUUUUAGAGAGUUCAUAUUGAUAAAAAUGUUUGU
rnacentral:rRNA from 1 species